rnacentral:misc_RNA from 1 species
AAAUAAUUAAUAAUAAUACUGGAAUAUUUAUUAUUGUAAUAUAUAGGAGUAAAGUGAAUAAUAAAAAUGGACAUGCAAGAGGACUGCUGGGAACACGUGGGGCUCCUUCAGGAUGUUUCCGGUUCGGGACAACCAACGCCGCCUGAUUUGAAUCCCGCGUUUCUUUGUAAUCAACAACAACAAUUGCUAGUAAGCGGAGGACAACCAACAACAGCUACAUCCCCGGCAGUGUCGUCUGGAGGAGCUUUGAGUCCUAGCGCACUGUCACCAUCGUCAAAUGCCCGGACGACGAGUAGCGCAGUACCUGGUGGAUCUGGAGGCGCUGAAACCCCAGUUGGGAGCUCCACCGGCGCUGGAUGUUGUGAAAAUGGAAGACCGAUGAUGACCGAUCCGGUUACCGGACAAACUGUAUGUUCGUGUCAGUACGACAGUGCAGCGCGUCUGGCCCUUGGGGCUUAUCCAAGACUGGGCCCUCCAGCCACCUCUUAUUCGACGUACCCUACACCAACACCCUCGGCGACUGAUCAGGGACCGUAUCCCAGUAUUGGAAUGGACAGUUCUGCUUUCUACUCACCUCUUGGAAAUCCUUAUGGACUAAAGGAUGCAACGGGGAUGGGAAUGACGGCGGAUAUGGGCGCAGCCUGGGGCACGGCGGCAUUACAACCCGCCGCGACUGGAUACUACCCCUAUGAUCCAACGUUAGCUGCUUAUGGAUACGGAGCUGGAUAUGAUUUAGCGGCACGUCGGAAAAAUGCGACGAGAGAAUCUACGGCGACGCUAAAAGCUUGGUUAAAUGAACAUAAAAAAAAUCCGUAUCCGACUAAAGGCGAAAAAAUUAUGCUGGCAAUAAUCACCAAGAUGACUUUAACUCAGGUGUCGACGUGGUUUGCUAAUGCAAGGAGAAGGCUCAAAAAAGAAAAUAAAAUGACGUGGGAGCCCAAGAACAAAACUGACGAUGACGACGACGCGAUACUUACUGACUCUGAAGAUAAUAAAGACAAGGAUGAUAUGGCCAGUGAUCACCGAAGUGAUCGCGUUGGAGAUGAUUCACAACGCAGUCUAGAUGACAAUGAACCAAUUCGGCACGUAAAAGCUGAACAUAUGCACCACGAUAAAGAUCUCGAGGAUGAUGAUGACUUGGAUUUGGAAGAGGAUCCUAGACGCAGUGAUAUGGGAUAUCACCACAUGCCUCAUCAUCCUCACCACCACCAUCAUCAUCACCACCAUCACCAAGGCUACGGAGAGGAGCACCAUUUAAAGGAGGAAGGAAAACCUGAUUGUCAAGCGGGUGUGCCAAUUCCCGCGACAAAGCCCAAAAUUUGGUCUCUCGCGGACACAGCCGCUUGUAAAACUCCACCUCCUAGCCAUUCACACGCGCAUCACCAUCACCAUCAGCAGCAACAACAGUACCUACACCAUCAUCACUAUGGUCUCCAGCAUCAGCAGCAACAGCAGCAGCACCAUCAGCAACUUCACCAUCAAAAUCUUCACCUGAACCAACAUCAAAACCAACCCUGGCAAUUGGGAUCGACAAAUCCGAGCACAGACAACUCGGGAGGAGGUCUCAGUUCAUUUGCGCUUCCUUCGUCAGCGACCUCGAUGAGUCCCUCCGGUGCUGGUCCAACUCCUUAUUCAAAUGUCUCGAGGUAUGGUGGAUUUCUUGGUUCCGCUAACCAACUUCACUACAGUUGCAAUUCAAAUCCAAAUCCAAAUCCAAAUCCUAAUCCAAACCCAAAUUUAAAUUCCUCGGCCUCCUCUUCAGCUUCAUCGAGCACGGCGGUGGGGUUUCCCGAAGUUGGUACGGACACACCACCUCAAACCCCCCCGAACAUGAAGGUGGCAACACCCAAUGGUGUGAUCCAAGCAGCUCCAGCUCCAACGUACUGCCCUGGUGGCAUCAUCACAACCGCCCUUCCUAGUAGUAAUAAUAAUAAUAAUAAUAAUAAUAAUAACAACAGCAAUACCACUACCAAUAAUAAUAAUAAUAAUAAUAAUCAUAAUAAUAAUAAUAAUAAUAAUACCAAUACCAACAAUAAUAACAAUAAUCCUACGUCAACAAAUCACUAUGCUGGCGUGACAAACGGAAUUCUUUCGGCCAGUACUGGAUAUCUUUCCUCAAGUUCGGUAUCCUCCGUCAGUAGCAACUCUUCGUCAUUUGGAUCGAGACUCCAGAGUCCUCACAAAGAAUUCGGAAAUCAGAAUGGUCUACAUCAGCAGACCACCACAGCAGAAGCUGCAACCGCAUUCAAACCCUUUUACAAAGAAUCACAAUCUAUGGCUAGUGGAUUCGUGUCGCCAGUUUAGAAAUUAACACCUUCAAUCUUAAAUGGUUAAUUUGGGGUACUGGAUUCUCUCGGAAAAAUAAAAGAAAAUGGGGUCUGUACAAUGUAUAAUAAUAUAAUAAACCGAAGAAAAUAAAGAAAGUAAAUUGAAAUAAAUAAAAAAAAAAAAAAGUCAAGAUUUGGAUGAAAACAUCAAAAAACAAAUAUAUAUCAUAAGAUAAUAAGGAGUGCUCGGAAAAAGGAACAAGAACAAGAAGAUAAUGAUGGUACUAAGGGCAUGUGAUAUGUGAUAUGGUAUUGUAUCAGAAGAGAUGGCAAAGUAUAGAAGGAUAGGAGAAUAGAAAUAUGAUAGGAUAAAAUAGGAACACUACUCUUGAUAGAAUCGUACUACUUAAAGUUAAGUCUUAAAGUAUCUCUCUUUGUGUAUUGGCUGUAACAGGUUAUAUUACAGCUCACAAAAAAAUCAACACUUGAUGAUUGUGCGUCUGUAUCUGUGUCAAUAUUUUUAUUCACCUUGAUAUAAUAAUAAUAUUAAUAAUAUCAAUAAUAUCAAUAAAUCCUUCCUCCUUGGAGUACUGUUUACCACAGUUGAGUUGUAUUCGAGUUAGUCGUAUCGUAAUCGGACAUACGAACGACUAUUGUAUAUAACUGGUAUGAUAUGUUAUGGUGUAAUGUGGUGGUAUAUGCUCAUGAGCUGGUGAACGUGUGCUAUUGCAUGUCUAGUCAAAGUACUUGCUGCAUAGCACGCCACCGAGACUCGACUCUCUCUCUGAAUUACUGAGCUAAAGCUUGAGCACUCGAAAAUAAAUAAAAAUUUAUAUAUAAUAAUAAUAAUAAUAAUAAUAAUAAUAAUAAUAGUUAUGUACAAGAUCUUUAGCUUUGAUAAAAGAGGGAACGGACAACCGAAAUAAGUAAACGUGUGAAUUUUGAUUAGUCUUAAUAAAAUGGACUUUUUGCUUUGAAUUGACAGAGUUUUAGAUUUACUUGUACGAGUAUACACAUUUAUACGUUACACGUUAAUAUUGUUUGUCUCACAAUUAAUUAAUUAAAUAAAUAAAUACUUUUAAUAACUCCAUUAUUUUUAAAUAUUUAACUAAGAAAAAACAACAAUU